rnacentral:lncRNA from 1 species
CCUGCUUCCUUCCCAAUCUUGCCCAACUCUGCUUCCUUCAACAAGAAUUUAUUCCAACAGCACUCCAUAAUUAAGUUCCCCAAAACUUCUCUCCAUCUCAUAAUUGGAUUCUCAGGGAAUUCAGCUUUCAACAUUGGAAUUCUACCCUUGGAGCCAAGCCACGAUGCUGUGUGGAGCUUGAUCCACCUAGAGAGACUACGAGAAGGAGAAUCAAGGAGCUCUGGCUGAAAACCCAGAAAAAAAAAGAAAAAUUGGAAUUAUUUAAGAAAAGGGACAAAGUUACUCCUCAGAUGGUGAAGCCUGAGAUCCCUGGCCAGAAAACAAGGACGAAAGAAAGAAGCAUUUAUAUCCU